UUUUUUUUCAAAAUUAAAUGAAUUGGAUUUUACAUGACUCCUGUAGUGUUUUUAGUGUAUGUAGUGUACACAUUUUUUCCCAUCAUCAGGUUAACAUUGAGAUUAACUUGUAAUUCAUGUCUAAUGAGCAUUACAGUCUGGGGAUUAUUAUUUAUGAUUAGCAUUAAUAUAUCACAGAAAAAGUAUCUUUAGAAUGAUCAAAUUAUUAUCUCUCUGACUUUUAAUCUUUGGUUUUGUCUAUGCCUGCAGAAGCGAAUAAGAAAGGAAAACAAGAAUGGCUGGAAAGAGUGAAAAGAGAAUUUCAAAAUGGCCCACUUGCAUCAAACGUUGUGUUUGCCCUUAUUUUGACGGUCUUGGAAAGGUUAGUGCAGACAGAGUUUGAGUGCCCCUGUAAAGGGACAUACUUGAAUGGUGGUUUUGUGGCUACAUUUUUCAUCAUUCCUGGAAUCUUGGCUUAUGUGCUGAUGGCUUCAAUGCAAGAACUGAAGUGCUCACGUGACACAGACAAUGCAAAGCGAUUCUUUCACUGCUGCGUCCCUGCAUUUGUGUGGAUGAUCUUGAUGCUCUUUGAUGGCAGCUACUUUUCUUGUGGAAUGAGUGAUUGGUCAGGCAGGUAUGUAACUGCUGACAAAGCUGCCCCACUGAAGUGGUGUGAACCAGAAAAUGGUACCUCAUAUCAGGAUAGACUGAAGAAAUCUCAGGACUGGUACUUUCUCUCUCAGUGGGUUGGGCUUGCCUUGGUGUUGGUCUUGACUUUGGUCUUCCUGAUCAUAAAAUUCAUCAUAAAUACAUCUCUUGAACAAGAGCAAUCCAGUACUCCUUCAGAAAGUGACUCUGGUCCAUGUGUUCCCCCAGGCCAAACAGAUCAGGCCUCUGGCUCAAGCUCAGCUGUCGCACUCCGACCUCUCCAUACCAACACUCCUUACACCAACGUCACUGAUAUGUGAAGAAGCAUAGGGGAGUUAUUUUAUGUCAGACUUUAUUUUUAUUCUACAGACUAUUUAUUUUUGUAAUAAUAAUAAUAAUAAUACAUUAUCUUUAUAACCCACACUGUAAAAGGAUUUUUAUUACACACGUUUAUAAUGUUCAUAUAUUUCAAAGAACAUAGUGUACUUUUGUUGUUGUAUUAGACAUUCUAAGCCUAGUAGUACAAGUUGUAUUUUUCCAUGACAAAUAUACAUGCAAAAGUUUAUUUCUCUAAGCAUAUUGUAGGUUAAACAUAGCUGUUAUUGUUAGAGUAAGUUCCAGGAACUGACAUGUUCUCCCCACGAGUGAAGAGCGUGCAGCUAAGUUCCUGUUUUAUCUUUGCUUUGCUAUGUGACAUCACUAUACUAGAAAAACAGGAAAUGUUGUAUUACCAUGUUACCCUUUAAAUAAAGAUCUGCAGCGCAGCUCGGUGUGUGAGUCUGUGAGUUCGCUCCUAGCUCUCACCCGUGCACGUUAACUCUGAUCUCUUGUGACAGUGUCUUUAUUCUCUUAUUUUGUGAUUGAACAAUGUUAACUCUUAACACACAAAAACAGAGUGCAGUAUUUUAUUUAUAUUUUGUCUUUACAUUUCAUCUAUGCAUGUCAUGUAUUUCACACACAAAAAGUAUGAUUAGAAUGUUAAGAUUACACUGCAUGUUUAUCUGACAUUGUUGCCUGUAUUCUGGUUGUAUAUUACUUUAAGUUAUAAUGAGAAAUGAUUGAUUGUGCUUUAUGCUUUGGUGUGCGCACAUGUGCUGGCAGGGGUGCAGGGGAGGAAGGUGAUCAUUCUAAAGCCCCAUGAGUAACAUUCAAUUAGUUAUUAUUGUUGUUGUUAUUACCAUGAAAAUUAAUAACUUAUCACCAUAAAGUAAUGUUUGCUUCACAAGGUACUUACAAAUGUGUUUAUUUGCUAGCAUUAGUUUUGUUUUCUGUUUCGCAACAAAGGAUAAAAUCAAGUCAGCAUCUGACCCUGCCUCCCCCCUCCUUAUUUCAUGAUUUGGUUUGCUCCAGGUGUAAGCGCUCCUAGAGCUGUACCUCUGCAAAAGAAAGAGACACUAGCUUUGUUAAAAGUAAAGUCUGUGUUUCAAAAAAGAAAAGUGAGACAGGUAAAAAUUACAUUAAUAGAAAGUCUCCAUGAAAGAUCCUCCUAGUGUUAAUUAGCUUAAUUUCUAACAUAAAACAAUGUUUUGUAGUUUUUUAGCCAACAUGUAAUUAGUGCAGGCAGACCCUCUGUACAUAUGUAUGCUAAAACACUUUUUCCAUCUCCCAACCAGGCCAAACAGAUCAGGCCUCUGGCUCAAGCUCAGCUGUCGCACUCCGACCUCUCCAUACCAACACUCCUGACACCAACGUCACUGAUAUGUGAAGAAGCAUAGGGGGACUGAGGAGCUGGAGUCCAUCCCAGCUGUCUCGGAGUAGGAGGCAGGAUAUACCCUGGAUCGGUGGCCAACCUGAAUUCUAGUAGUGUAUUAUAUAUCUUUAUAAUUGCCAGCUUCUCUCUGACAUUCUUUUUUCUUGUCAGGGUAAAUUUGUGGAAUUUCUUGCCUUCUUAAUGGGGUUGGGACCAUCAGUUGUGUUGUGCAGAACUCAGGUUGGUACACAACUGACAGCCCUAUUUGACAACUCUUAGAAUCCAUAUUAUGGUAAGAACCAAUCAGUUAGGGAAAUUAGAGCACUUCAUUAUCUUAACUCUAUAAUGCCCUUUGUAUAACAUUUGAUACAUGAGUUUAUGAGACCUGUAUCUCAUCAACACGAUCAAUACUUGCCAUAAUUUCAAAAUGUUAUGGACAGCGCUUUUUUUUUGUCUAAAAUGAACAAUUUUGUUAACAAAAAGUUACCAAAAACACCCAAUGUAUCAAAUAUGACACAAAACAUAUAUAAUAAAUAUGUAAUAAAUAUAUAUCAUAUGCAACACGAUACAGCAAAAAAGGGGGGAUUUUGUUAUAAGGGUUAAUAAACAUCUCACUUGCAAAAAAA
ensembl:lncRNA